UCAGUGGGUUAAGCCGCUGCCUUCGGCUCAGGUCAUGAUCUCAGGGUCCUGGGAUCGAGCCCCCACAUCAGGCUCCCCACACAGCGCAGAGUCUACUUCUCACCCUCAGCUCCCUCUGUUCCUCCCCUUGAU